rnacentral:rRNA from 1 species
CCAGACUCCUACGGGAGGCAGCAGUGGGGAAUAUUGGGCAAUGGGCGCAAGCCUGACCCAGCAACGCCGCGUGAAGGAAGAAGGCUUUCGGGUUGUAAACUUCUUUUAAGGGGGAAGAGCAGAAGACGGUACCCCUUGAAUAAGCCACGGCUAACUACGUGCCAGCAGCCGCGGUAAUACGUAGGUGGCAAGCGUUAUCCGGAUUUACUGGGUGUAAAGGGCGUGUAGGCGGGACUGCAAGUCAGAUGUGAAAACCAUGGGCUCAACCUGUGGCCUGCAUUUGAAACUGUAGUUCUUGAGUACUGGAGAGGCAGACGGAAUUCCUAGUGUAGCGGUGAAAUGCGUAGAUAUUAGGAGGAACACCAGUGGCGAAGGCGACUUACUGGACUGUAACUGACGUUGAGGCUCGAAAGCGUGGGGAGCAAACAGGAUUAGAUACCCCUGUACU